AGAUUGAACGCUGGCGGCAUGCCUUACACAUGCAAGUCGAACGGCAGCACGGACUUCGGUCUGGUGGCGAGUGGCGAACGGGUGAGUAAUAUAUCGGAACGUACCCUGGAGUGGGGGAUAACGCAGCGAAAGUUGCGCUAAUACCGCAUACGAUCUACGGAUGAAAGUGGGGGAUUCGCAAGAACCUCAUGCUCGUGGAGCGGCCGAUAUCUGAUUAGCUAGUUGGUAGGGUAAAAGCCUACCAAGGCAUCGAUCAGUAGCUGGUCUGAGAGGACGACCAGCCACACUGGGACUGAGACACGGCCCAGACUCCUACGGGAGGCAGCAGUGGGGAAUUUGGACAAGUGGGGGCAACCCGUGAUCCAGCAAUGCCGCGUGAGUGAAGAAGGCCGUUCGGGUUGU
rnacentral:rRNA from 1 species